rnacentral:lncRNA from 1 species
AGUGAAACUCCAUCUCAAAACAAACAAACAAACAAACAAAGAAACAAACAACAAACAAACACCAAAAAACUAAUACUACACUAGUCACUGGGGCUUCUUCCAUUAAUAUAUGUGGGUGUUUCUCUCUGUGUGUGUGUGUGUGUGUGGUGGUGUUGGGGGUUGGGGGAGAGAAAGAGAGACAGAGAGAGAGACAGACAGACAGACAGAGAGACAGAGAGAACUUGCUUAGACCUGCUUUUUGCAUCAUCCAGCAUUUAGUUUCCCUGCUUCCUCAGCUAGGCUAUGUUCACUUUUUCUAGUCAAUCAUGAGAAGUAUGUGACUCCUUGUGUGAAUUGCAUGAGUGGCCCCAAUUCUACACCCUUCCCAGUACCCAUGUCCUUUGUUGUGUCAUUUUGUGGUGCUUUUCCCCUGUGUAUGGGGUAUAUGGUCCAGCCAUGACUUACUUUGGCUGAUGGGAUGUUAGCAAAUGUGACAUAGCAGAGACUCCAGAAGUCCUUGUGCUGCUGGGCUUGACUAUUCUGUGCCGUGUCAUCACCUGGAAGACAUUCUAGUCUGCUAGUUCCAGGAAGAAAAUGAGAGACAUGUGGGGCAAAGCCACCCCCAGACAAAUCUAGCCUAGAUGUUCUAAUCCCUAGACUUGUGAGGAAUAAUAAAUAAUUAUCUCUUUAAGCCACUGAAUAUUGGGGUGGUUUGUAUACAGAAAUAGUCAAUGGACCCACUUCCUUCUUCCUCCUCAUGCAGACCCCGGAUCCUCCCCUUCUCUACUCCUUAGAUGAACCGCACUCUGCCCCCUAGCACCUGGUGACAAAAAGUGAGAACUUCUGUAGCACUAGGAAAAUAGAAGAGAAAACAAGGGGAAAAAAUGAGAGUAAAGGAGAGAAGACUAUGCUGAUGCCAUCUGAGAGAUUCCUAUGGGAAAGAUGGAAAAAUUAACCAUCACCAUGCUCCUCCUGUUCCUUAAUCAGUUCUCUCAUAUCCUUUCUUUUUCCCAACCCUUAUUUCCUACUCUCAAUGCUUUCUGUUCCCACUAUUGAUCUGCAUCAUGAGGCCAGGGUUCUUUCGCAAUUAUUGCUAACAUUUAUUGAAUACUAAUUAUAUAUUAAGCACUGAGCUAAGUGCCGUACUUGGAUUAUGUGUUUUAAACCUCACUAUGGCACUGUAAGAUGGACAACAUGGUCUAUAUUUUACACACGAAGAAGCUUAAGAGUCAUCAAAUGAUUUGCUCAGGAUCCACAGCUAGUAAGCAGUGAAGCUAAGGCUCUAAUCCAGGCAGGCUGACAACAAAGCCUGUGCUCUUCCCCCUAUACCACACUGUCCUUUCUUGUUGAAUCCUCUUCAUCCUCUCUUCCACUGCCAUUCUUCUCCCCUUCCAUAGGCAACCAUUAACGUAUAUAUUUUUAUGUGAAUAUUUUUUGCACAGUGAAGAUGGUUGUUUGGUACACAUUGUUUCUAAUUUAUCUAAGUGAUAAUUAUUUCUUAUUUUAUUCUGUUUCUUUUUUUUAUUAAGCAUUCUGUUUUUAAGAUCCAUACACUUCGCUAUGUGUUCAUUUAAUUUGUUGCCUCUUACCUGCUACCUAGUACUCCAUGGUUUCUACUCAUCCCAAAUUCUUUAUCCACCCCUCCAUAGUGAACAACCAGAUUUCCUCCAACUCCCCACCACAAGUAAUGCUCUAGUGAAUAUCCUCAUACAUGGUCCCUUAAGGCCCAAGUGAGAAAUUUCCUGGGUGUAAAUCCAGGAGCAGAAUUGGCAUGUCACAGGGAAUGUUUAUCUGUUGGACUAAAUUGCUCCUCAUAAUGGUCUGCACUCCCACUGGCAGCACGUGAAGGCAAAUCUAUGCCUAUGAUCCUGUCUAAAUUCUGCCAGCCUGAAAGGUGCAAACCGAUAACUCACUGUUUUAACUUGCAUUUACCUAAUUACCAAUUAUUUGGGCAUUUCUUUACAUGCUGGCUCUGUUUUUGAGUUUCCUUUUCUAAAAAUUACCUAUUCAUAAUCUGCUCAUUUUGUAAUUGAGCUUUUUUUUUUCUUAUUGAUUCAGAGGAAUCCUUUGCUUAUUCUAGAUACAUUGGCUAGAAACAUUCCAAAUAGCUUCUCCCAAUCUAUCAUCUGGUCUUUGUGUUUGCUGUCUCUCAUGAACAGAAGUCCUAUUUUGAUGUUUUCAAUUAAUAUAUAUUUUUGCCUUAUUGUUUGUGCCUUUUAAGUUUUGUUUAAAAGAGGCCCCUGACCUCUAUUCUCAAAUAUUGAAUAUUGAAAAAAAAUUCUCAAAUAUUUUCAAAACAUUUUUGUCCAUUAUCUUUAUGGGUUUACAUUUCUAUUAUUUCCCCUUUAAAUAUGACUGUUAAAAUAACCUUAUAAUAUUAUGAGUGAAAUAAGCUUUAAAGAGUAGGUCCAAGAACUUGAUCACUGUAUACAUCAAUUGUUUCUGUGAAAAGCCUGUGAUCUGAGUUCCAAGACAUCAAUUUAGAAGUGGACUUUUGGAAUAGAGCCUGUUUAUGCAUUCAAGGUUGCCAGGAUAUUUAUGAAAGGAACUCUAAAGUUCUAUUAUAGUGGUCUGGCCAUUGUUGUUGGCCUCAGUAUCGUUACAUUAUAAUCAUAGUGUUAAUGUGAUUAUAAAUCACCAGGGGCAGUGUUGCUUAAAGUGUGGUCCUCAAAUUAAUUGCAUUGCAUUUACUUAAAUGUGCUUGUUAAAAAUAAAGAUUUCAUUUGUCAAAACCCAUAGAAUGUACAACACAAAGAGUGACCCCUAAUAUUUGGUUGAUAAUAAUGUGUCAAUAUCAGUUCAUCAGUUGUAAUAACUGGACCACACUGAUGUAAGAUAUUGAUGGUAGAGAGGCUGUGAGCUGGUGGAGAAGGGAGUAUGUGGGAACUCUCUUUACUUUGCUCAGUUUUGCUGUACACCUAAACUGCUCUGGUGCCCAACGUGGAGGCUUUUCUCUAGGGUGAAGGUACACUCGAGCGUGGUCAUUGAGGACAAGUCGACGAGAGAUCCCGAGUACGUCUACAGUCAGCCUUACGAGUGGACUGAUCAAGUUGAAAGCAACAGAACAAGCAUCUAUAAGAAUUGAUUAUAUGUCCCAGCACUUUGGAAGGCUGAGGCAAGUGGAUCCCUUGGGCCUAGGACUUCGCGAGACCAGUUGGGCAACAUGAACAAGAUGGAAGAAACUACGGUCACAUAUGCAAAUGGAGAAGAUGAUGAACACAGAAAAAUUAUGCAAAGAUAAUCCCUAAACCUUCUUUCUCAUCAAAAGUUAUAGCAAGGUGGUUUAAUAUAUCACUGACGGAACACGAUGCUUUGUUUAAUGAAGACUCAGACGGAAAGGAUCAGACAUCAACCUAUAAAUGCAUCAACCAGAAGGAAAGACCAAUUUUGAAAACUGUUGAGCAUUAUUCUAUACCUCUAAGCUGUUCUUUUCUGAACCAUGAAUCGGGAGAAUUAUUGUCACUCAUACAUGAGUAUGAGUUGUAAUUCUCAAUUCCCAAGUAAAAAUCUUCCUGCUUUUGUUAUAUUUUUCUUCUUGUGAAUUUUUUUCUCUUUGUUUGUGGUCAAAAGAUGUCUGGAAAGUGAAAGGUUCUCAAUAUGACUUUGAACUGUACAGGAAACAAUAGCAUUCUGGUCCAUUUAGGUGGGGGCAAAAAUCAUAAUCUGCAGAACAAGCUAGGCUUUUAUUUAAUUCAUUCUUUUGAAAAAGAUAGCUUGUUCUAAUAUUGAAUUCUCCUUACCAUUACAUUUGAAGUAAAGUUAACUGGACAGAGACCUGUCUACAUCCAACAAGCUACAAAGACAACAAAGGUACCACACUAAUGAAUGCCUGUGAAAGCACAAAAUCUAUAAUGUAAAUAAAAGUGUAAUUAUCUUCAUAUCAUCCUUUUUAUCUAGAAAGGGCAGCUCUGAGAAGGUGGUACUUUUGUUUUUAGGAAGUUUCAGCACCACUCCCCUGUGUAAGGGUUAUUUUUGUGUUUAGAAUAUUUUUGAUAGAACUAAGAAAACUAAUAUGUGUUCUGUCUAUAAAUCAGGGAGAAAAGGGGUUUGUGGGUGACUGCUGCUCUGCUGGGCUGCUCCAUUUUAGUCCAUAGACUAUUUCUAUGUCAUAGUUUACCCGCAUAAACAGUUUACCCGCAUAAACAGUGAUGGUCUAGAUAUAAAGCCUGCUAUAUCAUUACAUGUGACAGUUAUGUAGAAACUAGUAUAUACUUAUAUUUGAGUCCCGUUGAAGCAGUGAAGGGUUUUUGAAAUUAGCACCUACUUGAAAUAAUAAGCUAAAUCUCAUACUUCAAGGAUGGAUUUAGCUCCCAAUUAGAAAUAAGAGCUAGAAGAAGGAGCCACUCAGCUAAAGGUGAUAAUGUAAGUGCACAGUUUUAAAGUUAAAGAUAACAUAAAGAUAAAACUGUUAAAUGAAUCUAAGUCUACUAAAAAAACAGAGACACCAAAAUUCUAUCCCAAAAAAUUGGUUUAGAAAUCUGAAAAGAAAAUUAAAAGAUUCAUCUUCAAUAACAACUUGCUACCUCUUAUUUGCCCACUAUGAUAUAUUUACGUAUCAUUCAAUAGUCAAUGUUCUAUUUUCCAUCCUGGUUUUCUUUGUGUUUCAGAAGGCAAUUUCUUUUGGAAAAGAAAUCUGAGGACUUUUGAUACGCAGACAACACAUUUAAAAUUCAGCUAAUUAGGUAACUACUGAAAUCUCUAACUAACUAUUUGGGGCCAGUGUUACUACCUCUCUCUGAGAAGUUGGGUCUGAAUUCAAUUAUCACAAAUAGUUUAAUAAAGAUAUAUAUAGAUGAUGUUAGAGAUUCUCCAGGCAUUUAUUUCAACCUGAAACAUAGCUGAAUACAUGGAGAGAAAGUACUUUCCAUUCAACCAAAUAGACACCACCCACAGUUACAUCUUAGCCAUUAAGUUCUGAUGGCAAACCUGAAAUCAGAGGAAGAGGGAAGAAGAAACCGGAAAAAAAAAAGCAUCAAAAUAAUAAUAAUGGACUAAGGGAGUUUCAGAAAGAUAAGUAAGUAUAAUAUUAUAUUUUUAUUGUGUAAGCUUCUUGAGUUGAGUCUGGGGUAAAGUCUGCAAGCUACACGGUAUUAAAAGAGGCAGCAAAUUAGAACCUCAGGGGAAGCACUAGUAUUUGAGGGGAAAGAAUGGAGAGCACCAUUUUUUUGUGCUUGAGGCAUCCAGGUAAGAGUUCCUU